AUUGAACGCUGGCGGCAGGCCUAACACAUGCAAGUCGAGCGAGCGGCGGACGGGUGAGUAAUGUCUGGGAAACUGCCUGAUGGAGGGGGAUAACUACUGGAAACGGUAGCUAAUACCGCAUACCAUCAGAUGUGCCCAGGUGGGAUUAGCUAGUAGGUGGGGUAACGGCUCACCUAGGCGACGAUCCCUAGCUGGUCUGAGAGGAUGACCAGCCACACUGGAACUGAGACACGGUCCAUACUCCUACGGGAGGCAGCAGUGGGGAAUAUGGCACAAUGGGGGCAAGCCUGACGCAGCCAUGCCGCGUGUAUGAAGAAGGCCCUCGGUUUGUAAAGUCCUUUCAGCGGGGAGGCGUUACCCGCAGAAGAAGCACCGGCUAACUCCGUGCCAGCAGCCGCGGUAAUUC
rnacentral:rRNA from 1 species